UACGUAGGGUGCGAGCGUUAAUCGGAAUUACUGGGCGUAAAGGGUCCGCAGGUUGUUUUGUAAGUCAGAUGUGAAAGCCCCGGGCUUAACCUGGGAACUGCGUCUGAAACUACAAGGCUAGAGUAUGGCAGAGGGGGGUGGAAUUCCGCGUGUAGCAGUGAAAUGCGUAGAUAUGUGGAGGAACACCGAUGGCGAAGGCAGCCCCCUGGGUCAAUACUGACGCUGAGGGACGAAAGCAUGGGGAGCAAACAGG
rnacentral:rRNA from 1 species